UACAGAGGGUGCAAGCGUUACUCGGAAUUACUGGGCGUAAAGCGUGCGUAGACGGUUACAUAAGUCGGGUGUGAAAGCCCCGGGCUCAACCUGGGAAUUGCAUUCGAGACUGCGUAGCUAGGGUGCGGAAGAGGGAAGCGGAAUUUCCGGUGUAGCGGUGAAAUGCGCAGAUAUCGGGAGGAACACCGGCGGCGAAGGCGGUUCUCUGGGCCUGUACUGACGCUGAGGAGCGAAAGCGUGGGGAGCGAACAGG
rnacentral:rRNA from 1 species